rnacentral:rRNA from 1 species
CGCGGCCUAUCAGCUUGUUGGUGAGGUAAUGGCUCACCAAGGCGACGACGGGUAGCCGGCCUGAGAGGGUGACCGGCCACACUGGGACUGAGACACGGCCCAGACUCCUACGGGAGGCAGCAGUGGGGAAUAUUGCACAAUGGGCGCAAGCCUGAUGCAGCGACGCCGCGUGAGGGAUGACGGCCUUCGGGUUGUAAACCUCUUUCAGUAGGGAAGAAGUGAAAGUGACGGUACCUGCAGAAGAAGCGCCGGCUAACUACGUGCCAGCAGCCGCGGUAAUACGUAGGGCGCAAGCGUUAUCCGGAAUUAUUGGGCGUAAAGAGCUCGUAGGCGGUUUGUCGCGUCUGCCGUGAAAGUCCGGGGCUCAACUCCGGAUCUGCGGUGAGUACGGGCAGGCUAGAGUGAUGUAGGGGAGACUGGAAUCCCUGGUGUAGCGGUGAAAUGCGCAGAUAUCAGGAGGAACACCGAUGGCGAAGGCAGGUCUCUGGGCAUUAACUGACGCUGAGGAGCGAAAGCAUGGGGAGCGAACAGGAUUAGAUACCCUGGUAGCCCACGCUGUAAACGUUGGGCGCUAGGUGUGGGACCCUUCCACGGGUUCCGUGCCGGAGCUAACGCAUUAAGCGCCCCGCCUGGGGAGUACGG